CUUGCAUCUGGGAAGGUAUAGUCAACUGCUGGACUUGCUAACCACCAGUCUUCAGUCACCAUGCCCGCCCCCUGUGAACCGUGCAAAGAUUCCUGCAAGGACGGGUCUUGCAAAGACGACUGCUCCUGCAAGGAUAAGGGCUGCAACGACUGCUCAUCCACAGGCGGCUGCUGCUAAGCCGACAUGGAGGCGUCCCGCCGGCGCGCGCGCCGCCCGUCGCUGUGCGCGCGCGUGUCGGCGCUGCUCGAGGUGUGCUUCCCCGUCGCCUUCUCCGCCGUCUUCUUCGUCACCAUCAUGCU